rnacentral:piRNA from 1 species
UGACAAGCCUAUGUUCUUCUACGUGACGU